GACAGAGGUGGCAAACGUUGUUCGGAAUUACUGGGCGUAAAGCGAGUGUAGGCGGUUUGGUAAGUCGGAUGUGAAAGCCCCGGGCUCAACCCGGGAAGCGCACUCGAUACUGCCAAGCUAGAGUAUCGGAGAGGUUGGUGGAAUUCUCGGUGUAGAGGUAGAAAUUCGUAGAUAUUCGCAAGAACACCAGUGGCGAAGGCGGCUCACUGGCCCGGUACGUGACGCUGAGGUGCGAAAG
rnacentral:rRNA from 1 species